UGGUGCCUGACGUCUUGGCAGU
rnacentral:miRNA from 1 species